rnacentral:rRNA from 1 species
UACGAAGGGGGCUAGCGUUGCUCGGAAUUACUGGGCGUAAAGCGCACGUAGGCGGAUUUGUAAGUCAGGGGUGAAAUCCCGAGGCUCAACCUCGGAACUGCCUUUGAUACUGCAAAUCUCGAGUCCGGAAGAGGUGAGUGGAAUUCCUAGUGUAGAGGUGAAAUUCGUAGAUAUUAGGAAGAACACCAGUGGCGAAGGCGGCUCACUGGUCCGGUACUGACGCUGAGGUGCGAAAGCGUGGGGAGCAAACAGG